rnacentral:rRNA from 1 species
GCAGUCGACGAACUUCCGUUAAUUGAUUAUGACGUACUUGUACUGAUUGAGAUUUUAACACGAAGUGAGUGGCGAACGGGUGAGUAACACGUGGGUAACCUGCCCAGAAGUAGGGGAUAACACCUGGAAACAGAUGCUAAUACCGUAUAACAGAGAAAACCGCAUGGUUUUCUUUUAAAAGAUGGCUCUGCUAUCACUUCUGGAUGGACCCGCGGCGUAUUAGCUAGUUGGUGAGGUAAAGGCUCACCAAGGCAGUGAUACGUAGCCGACCUGAGAGGGUAAUCGGCCACAUUGGGACUGAGACACGGCCCAGACUCCUACGGGAGGCAGCAGUAGGGAAUCUUCCACAAUGGACGCAAGUCUGAUGGAGCAACGCCGCGUGAGUGAAGAAGGGUUUCGGCUCGUAAAGCUCUGUUGUUAAAGAAGAACGUGGGUAAGAGUAACUGUUUACCCAGUGACGGUAUUUAACCAGAAAGCCACGGCUAACUACGUGCCAGCAGCCGCGGUAAUACGUAGGUGGCAAGCGUUAUCCGGAUUUAUUGGGCGUAAAGCGAGCGCAGGCGGUCUUUUAAGUCUAAUGUGAAAGCCUUCGGCUCAACCGAAGAAGUGCAUUGGAAACUGGGAGACUUGAGUGCAGAAGAGGACAGUGGAACUCCAUGUGUAGCGGUGAAAUGCGUAGAUAUAUGGAAGAACACCAGUGGCGAAGGCGGCUGUCUGGUCUGCAACUGACGCUGAGGCUCGAAAGCAUGGGUAGCGAACAGGAUUAGAUACCCUGGUAGUCCAUGCCGUAAACGAUGAUUACUAAGUGUUGGAGGGUUUCCGCCCUUCAGUGCUGCAGCUAACGCAUUAAGUAAUCCGCCUGGGGAGUACGACCGCAAGGUUGAAACUCAAAAGAAUUGACGGGGGCCCGCACAAGCGGUGGAGCAUGUGGUUUAAUUCGAAGCUACGCGAAGAACCUUACCAGGUCUUGACAUCUUCUGACAGUCUAAGAGAUUAGAGGUUCCCUUCGGGGACAGAAUGACAGGUGGUGCAUGGUUGUCGUCAGCUCGUGUCGUGAGAUGUUGGGUUAAGUCCCGCAACGAGCGCAACCCUUAUUACUAGUUGCCAGCAUUAAGUUGGGCACUCUAGUGAGACUGCCGGUGACAAACCGGAGGAAGGUGGGGACGACGUCAAAUCAUCAUGCCCCUUAUGACCUGGGCUACACACGUGCUACAAUGGAUGGUACAACGAGUCGCGAGACCGCGAGGUUAAGCUAAUCUCUUAAAACCAUUCUCAGUUCGGACUGUAGGCUGCAACUCGCCUACACGAAGUCGGAAUCGCUAGUAAUCGCGGAUCAGCAUGCCGCGGUGAAUACGUUCCCGGGCCUUGUACACACCGCCCGUCACACCAUGAGAGUUUGUAACACCCAAAGCCGGUGG